rnacentral:lncRNA from 1 species
GAACGAAGCAGAGAAAACUUGAAGAUAGUCGAUGCACUCACUCACUAAUGGCCGUAUGUUUCAAUAACAGUCUUGUGGGCAGCAACAUGGAACAGAAACUAGACUGUGGAUGUUUUACUGCAAGAAAACUAAACAAAUCAGCACAACAAACUCCACUGCGUUACUGUUUGUCUUGGGAAACACUUCUAAGAAUCAGUGAGACUUUCCACAGAGGAUUUCUUCAACAGAACAAAGGAACCAGAGCAGGAUUCUGACACCUGACAUCCAAGUCAUCUGGAUUUUUCUACACCUUUAAGGAGGCACUGUGAGAGAAGACCUGUGGCAUAUACACAUAAAUAUAUGCGUUGGAACAUUAUUCCUGGAGCCUUAAGACUUUAGAAAGUCUUCAGAGAGAUUUAAUUUUGGGGUUAAGAGUACUAACUGUGAGAGGCUGGGACAAAGAAGAAGCUGCAGAAGUUUCAGCAACCAGAUGCGUCGCUGCAAAGUCUUUAGCGUCCUUGCUUACUCGCUCUGAAGGAUUUAUUUUACAGUGAUAAAUAUAUAUCUUAUAAAAAGAAUACCUCUUCUCAAACAUACGUGGUCUUCCUCUCGACACCCUCCCCUUUCACAGCUUUCUCGUUUGCCCCAAGGUCCUCCUGAUUCACUGUUUCUACUCCUAAUAACUUAACAUCCUCUGUACUGAAGUGUAUGAGUUAACUGCACUUCAUGGUGUACAAACAGGGGCAUCAGUCAUUCCUGUGGACUUCCUAAUAUCUACAAUAGCUCCUGCAGCCUUCAGAACUAUGCUUCAUGCUAUUCUUUGGGGAAAGCAACAACAUACGGAAAUUCACUCAAAUAAAAGUCUUAAUGGUCUAUUAAAUUGGAUAAAUAGUUACGGUUACAGAAAGUUUCUCCCAGGUUUACGUGGCAAUUUUCCUCAGAGAUUCUUCUCCAAAUUCUUUAUUCUGGAGGUAAAAGUCUUUUCUUCUGCAGCGAAGAAGCCGAAGACAAACUUACAAGGUAAGUGUUGGAGAUGUCCUCUAAAAAAGCCAAACCGAACGUUUUUUUUAAAAAUAAGUCAUUUAAUGUUCUGGGGAACAGCAUGGCCCCCAAAACUGCUGUACCGUGCUUGCUGGAGGGUUAGUAACCUUCAGCAUGCAGGUGGAAACACACAGCCAAGGCCAGGUAGAAGGAGGAACAACUUAAGCCAUUUUCACAGUCAAAGAAAAAAUAAAACGUAAUUACAAGCUGCAGUACAGACAGGUUAUCCUGUCUUUUAUUUUCAUUAAGAGAGCCGUGAGAUGAUGAGCAGCUGUGACUUGAAGCACUGAAAUAAAUGUUCUGG